rnacentral:rRNA from 1 species
GAGUGGCGAACGGGUGAGUAACACGUGGAAAUUCUGCCUAGGAGUGGGGGAUAACAUUCGGAAACGGAUGCUAAUACCGCAUAUCUUUUUGAACCGCAUGGUUCUUAAACGAAAGACGGCUUCGGCUGUCGCUCUUAGAUGAUCCCGCGGCGUAUUAGUUAGUUGGUGGGGUAAAGGCCUACCAAGACAAUGAUACGUAGCCGACCUGAGAGGGUGAUCGGCCACACUGGGACUGAGACACGGCCCAGACUCCUACGGGAGGCAGCAGUAGGGAAUCUUCCACAAUGGGUGCAAACCUGAUGGAGCAAUGCCGCGUGAAUGAAGAAGGUCUUCGGAUCGUAAAGUUCUGUUAUUAGAGAAGAACAAAUCGAGGAGUAACUGUCUCGAUUUUGACGGUACCUAACCAGAAAGUCACGGCUAACUACGUGCCAGCAGCCGCGGUAAUACGUAGGUGACAAGCGUUGUCCGGAAUUAUUGGGCGUAAAGGGAGCGCAGGCGGUUGAAAUAGUCUGAUGUGAAAGCCCACGGCUUAACCGUGGAAUGUCAUUGGAAACUGUUCAACUUGAAUGCAGAAGAGGUAAGUGGAAUUCCAUGUGUAGCGGUGAAAUGCGUAGAUAUAUGGAGGAACACCAGUGGCGAAGGCGACUUACUGGUCUGUGAUUGACGCUGAGGCUCGAAAGCGUGGGUAGCAAACAGGAUUAGAUACCCUGGUAGUCCACGCCGUAAACGAUGAGUGCUAAGUGUUAGGGGGUUUCCGCCCCUUAGUGCUGGAGUUAACGCAUUA